rnacentral:rRNA from 1 species
UAACACGGAGGGGGCAAGCGUUAUUCGGAAUUAUUGGGCGUAAAGGGCAGGUAGGCGGCUCGGUAUGUCUCUUGUGAAAGCCCUCGGCUCAACCGAGGAAUUGCAGGGGAAACUGCUGGGCUUGAGUCCGGGAGAGGAGAGUGGAAUUCCCAGUGUAGCGGUGAAAUGCGUAGAUAUUGGGAGGAACACCAGUGGCGAAGGCGGCUCUCUGGACCGGUACUGACGCUGAGCUGCGAAAGCUAGGGGAGCGAACGGGAUUAGAUACCCCGGUAGUCCUAGCUGUAAACGAUGAGCACUUGGUGUGGCGGGUAUCGACCCCUGCCGUGCCGGCGCUAACGCAUUAAGUGCUCCGCCUGGGGAGUACGGUCGCAAGGCUG